rnacentral:rRNA from 1 species
AGCAGCCGCGGUAAUUCCAGCUCCAAUAGCGUAUAUUAAAGUUGUUGCAGUUAAAAAGCUCGUAGUUGAAUUUCGGGGUUAGUAGGUUGGUCAUGCCUCUGGUAUGUACUGGUCUCACUGAUUCCUCCUUCCUGAUGAACCGUAAUGCCAUUAAUUUGGUGUUGCAGGGAAACUGGACUGUUACUUUGAAAAAAUUAGAGUGUUUAAAGCAAGCUAACGCUUGAAUACAUUAGCAUGGAAUAAUGAAAUAGGACGUUCGAUCCUAUUUUGUUGGUUUCUAGGAUUGACGUAAUGAUUAAUAGGGAUAGUUGGGGGGCAUUAGUAUUCAAUUGUCAGAGGUGAAAUUCUUGGAUUUAUUGAAGACUAACUACUGCGAAAGCAUUUUGCCAAGGAUGUUUUCAUUAGUCAAGAACGAAAGUUAGAGGAUCGAAGACGAUCAGAUACCGUCGUAGUCUUAACCAUAAACUAUGCCGACUAGGGAUCGGAUGAUGUUAAUUUUUUUCAAUGACUCAUUCGGCGC